UACGAGGGGGGGCGAGCGUUUGUUCGGAAUUAUUGGGCGUAAAGGGUGCGUAGGCGGUUUUGGUAAGUCUGAUGUGAAAUCUAUGGGCUCAACUCAUAGUCUGCAUCGGAAACUGCCGGGCUUGAGUGUGGGAGAGGUGAGUGGAAUUCCUGGUGUAGCGGUGAAAUGCGUAGAUAUCAGGAGGAACACCUGUGGCGAAAGCGGCUCACUGGACCAUAACUGACGCUGAUGCACGAAAAGCUAGGGGAGCAAACAGG
rnacentral:rRNA from 1 species